rnacentral:rRNA from 1 species
AGCAGCCGCGGUAAUUCCAGCUCCAAUAGCGUAUAUUAAAGUUGUUGCAGUUAAAAAGCUCGUAGUUGAAUUUCGGGGUUAGUAGGUUGGUCAUGCCUCUGGUAUGCACUGGCCUCACUGAUUCCUCCUUCCUGAUGAGCCGUAAUGCCAUUAAUUUGGUGUUGCGGGGAAUUUGGACUGUUACUUUGAAAAAAUUAGAGUGUUUAAAGCAAGCUAACGCUUGAAUACAUUAGCAUGGAAUAAUGAAAUAGGACGUUCGAUCCUAUUUUGUUGGUUUCUAGGAUUGACGUAAUGAUUAAUAGGGAUAGUUGGGGGCAUUAGUAUUCAAUUGUCAGAGGUGAAAUUCUUGGAUUUAUUGAAGACUAACUACUGCGAAAGCAUUUGCCAAGGAUGUUUUCAUUAAUCAAGAACGAAAGUUAGGGGAUCGGAGACGAUCAGAUACCGUCGUAGUCUUAACCAUAAACUAUGCCGACUAGGGAUCGGAUGAUGUUAAUUUUUUCAAUGACUCAUUCGGCGCCUU